GGCCUCCCAAUGCUUACCACAGGCUGUGUUCUUUACACAGACUGUAUAGAAAGAGGAGGUACAGUAAAUGCUUCCCAUAUACUCCUCAAACCAGAUCCUUUGCCUGGUCUGUAUUGUGAAUGGGGACAAAAAA